rnacentral:rRNA from 1 species
GCUAGCGGCAGGCCUAAUACAUGCAAGUCGAACGGAUUGGGGUAGCAAUACUCCAGUUAGUGGCGCACGGGUGCGUAACGCGUAUGCAACCUACCUUUUAUUGGGGGAUAGCCCGAAGAAAUUCGGAUUAAUACCGCAUAAUAUCCUUUGAGGGCAUCUGAAGGGGAUUAAAGCUACGGCGAUAAAAGAUGGGCAUGCGUGUCAUUAGCUAGUUGGUUGAGGUAACGGCUCACCAAGGCGACGAUGACUAGGGGUUCUGAGAGGAUGAUCCCCCACACUGGUACUGAGAUACGGACCAGACUCCUACGGGAGGCAGCAGUGGGGAAUAUUGGACAAUGGGCGAAAGCCUGAUCCAGCAAUGCCGCGUGAGUGAUGAAGGCCUUAGGGUUGUAAAGCUCUUUUACCCGGGAAGAUAAUGACUGUACCGGGAGAAUAAGCCCCGGCUAACUCCGUGCCAGCAGCCGCGGUAAUACGGAGGGGGCUAGCGUUGUUCGGAAUUACUGGGCGUAAAGCGUACGUAGGCGGCUUUGUAAGUUAGAGGUGAAAGCCCGGGGCUCAACUCCGGAAUUGCCUUUAAGACUGCAUCGCUUGAAUCAUGGAGAGGUUAGUGGAAUUCCGAGUGUAGAGGUGAAAUUCGUAGAUAUUCGGAAGAACACCAGUGGCGAAGGCGACUAACUGGACAUGUAUUGACGCUGAGGUACGAAAGCGUGGGGAGCAAACAGGAUUAGAUACCCUAGUAGUCC